rnacentral:sRNA from 1 species
UGGGUGUAAAAAUAUAUUUGGCUUGAAAGUAAUAGUGUCCAUCUGUAAAUAUUGCUAUUUAUGCCAAGGUGUUGUUGACCUCGAAGUGAAUCUCCUUUUAUCAGAAAUCAAAAUCAAUAAGACUAUAACCUGCUGUUUUUCUUAAACCUAAAUCCUGGAUUGAUUGUCUCAAGUCAGUAGCAUCUUUCCAGCUUCCUGCAGCUACAUACAUAUUUGACAAUGAUAUAUAAUAUCCAACAUUGUGAGGUUCCAAUUGAAAGAGAUGUUGAGCAACUAGUUUUCCCAACUUGAGUUCUCCAUGAUAGUUGCAUGCACUUAGGAGAGUUCCCCAAACACCUGAGCUGUCACACCCCUUAGCAAACUCGUAAGCCUCAUCCAGUCUACCUGAUCUCCCAAGCAUGUCAACCACAUAUACUUGAUGCUCAGUCUCAGGUUGUACUCCAUAUUUCUCCAACAUACACUCAUAGUACCAAAUGCCUUGCUUCACAAGUCCUGAAUGCCUGCAUGCAGAUAAAAGGCUGACAAAAGUGCUUUUGCUCACCCUUUCUCCUGACUCACACAUUUCAUUGAAGAGUUUGACUGCCUUCUCACCCUUUCCAUGAUAUCCAUAUGCAGAAAUCGUCGAAUUCCAAGUUGAUUCUGACUUCUCCUUUGCAUUUCUGAAUACGUGUAGGGCACUGUCCAAUCUUCCACAGUUGCUGUAGAAAUCUAUAAGAGCUGCUGAUAUGAAGGAAUUAUCUCCAAUGCCAGUCCUGAACACAUGGGCAUGAGCCUGUUUUCCAUGUCUUAGGACACCGAUUUGUGUGCAAGCAGAGAGAAAACUAACAAUGGUGAUCUCAUUUGGUUCAAACUGAAUAUGGCGAAAUAGUUCCAAUGCUUCUCUACUUUCUCCAUUAUGAGAUAAAGCUGAGAUUAUGCAAUUCCAUGAGCAAAGAUUGGGAAUGGAACAGAAUUUGAACACUACUUUGGCACUGUUGAUGUCUCUGCACCUGCCAUACAUAGUAAUUAAUGAGUUCUGAACCCGAGUAUCUGAUCCCAAAGGAGUCUUAAGUGCAAGGCCAUGCAGAGACUUUCCUUGGCUUGAUAGUUCUAGGUUUGCACAGGCAGACAAGAUAUUUACAAGGGUUAUGGAGUCAUAGUUGAAAGGAGGUUCCUGUCUCAUCAAUUUGAAAAUAUCUAGAGCCUCUCUGAUAUGGUCGCAUCGCACACAACCCACAAUUAGUGUGUUCCAUGAAGCUAUAUCUGCUAAUGCAGAAUUCUCAUACAAAAUUGAAAAACUGGCAGCUAAGUAUCCACAAUUGAUAUACAUAUGCAUGAGAGAAUUUAUUAAAAGAAUGUGGUUCAAAAAUCCAGAUUUCACCUGCCAGCAGUGAACUGAUUUUCCAAAAUGGAGACUGUUAAGGGAGUCGCAAGAAGAAAGAAUAGCAAAAAGGGUCGAGGAGCUGCAGUUUAGGCCACAACGUAGCAUCUCUCUGAACAAUUUUUGAGCUUCAUCAGAAUACCUGUUAUGGGAAUAGCAAGAUAUCAUUAUAUUCCAUGAGACCGAGUCCUUCUCUGUGGUAGAAUUGAACAAGAGCUCAGCUUUCUCCACCAGGUUGCACUUUGAAUACAUGUCUAUCAGGCUGUUCAGUAACAUAACAUGAUGAGAUACCAUCAUCUGUCUUCUAAUUGCAAAUCCAUGGAUGGUUCUUCCUUCUCUGUAGAGCAUCAGUUCCGCACAAAGUGGAAGUAGAGUAGUUAAUGUCACCACAUCAGGUGGGAACGACCCUACUAUUUGCAUUUCAACCAGAAGAUCAAAUACUUCAUUAAAUUUUCCAUUUGAUGCAAAUCCUUCCAUCAUUGCAUUCCAGGAAACAGUAUCUUUGAGUGCUAUUUCUCUGAACACUGUUUCAGCAGCUUUGAUGUCUUCACAUUGUGAAUAUAAUGAAAUGAGAGAGUUGGCAACUGAAACGUACGAGCUGUCCUUGUAACCUAGCUUGAUUCCCAGCCCGUGAAUGGACUGGCCAAGAGCCAGCUCUCCCAAACUUGAAGAUGCUGAAAUGGCACAAGAUAGACUGACACUGUCUACUGUUUCUUCAGAAAAACUCACCCUUUUGAAGUAAUACAAUGCAUUCACUGGAUCACCAUUGUAAAUACUGCCUCUCAUUAUCGAAUUCCACGAAAUAAUAUCUUUACCUUCCAUCUCUUCGUAUACACCCUCGGAAGAGCUUAGAUCACCACACUUAGCAUACAUGUCAAUAAGAGCAUUACCUAAACCGAUAUGCUUUAGCAUCCCAGAUUUUAUACUCACACAGUGAAUUACCCGUCCUAGGUCAAAGCUUUUUAUCAGUGAAGAAGCUGACACCAUAAGCAAUAGAGUAGUGGAAUCAAACCCAGUUUCGGCCUUGAUCAUUUUCUCUAAGAAGUCCAUUGCUGUUCUAUAGCACUUAUUUUCAAGAGAUGCUGCAACAAUAGCAUUCCAAGCAAUCACAUCUCUGUUGGGAAUCUCAUCAAACAAACUCUUUGAAGAGGCAAAAUCUCCAGCCCUAGAAUAAACAGUGAGUAGAGAUGUCGAGUUUGGGGGGUGAGCUAGAGCGCCUAACUUUAAUGCUGCACAAUGGGCAGCAGUGGCACUCACAAUUUUUGGCUUUCUGAGGGACAGUUUGAUAUAAUCAACAAGCUGAAAAUGAAUAUCACUCGCACGUAGAGUUCUGUGUAGCAUUUCCUCAAACAGCUGAAUGACACUGAGAAAACAAUGACAUUAACAUGAGAAUACGGGGACCCUGUGUCGUCGUUUAACAAUGCUGAAGUUCCCAGUUUGGUGGUUCUGCGAAGAAAUUGAAUGGAAUGAUUGUGAUAUUCCAGGUAUAAAAAAUCCCGUCUUGCGCUGAAGAGCGUGAAUUUGAGAGCUUAGCAAUUUCCAAAGGCCAUGCAUAACAAUAAAUAGCUCCUACGUAGUAACUCUUCCAUUCAUAGAACAUACUGUAGCAGUGUUUUUCCGUUG